rnacentral:rRNA from 1 species
AUUGAACGCUGGCGGCAUGCCUUACACAUGCAAGUCGAACGGUAACAGGUCUUCGGAUGCUGACGAGUGGCGAACGGGUGAGUAAUACAUCGGAACGUGCCCAGACGUGGGGGAUAACGAGGCGAAAGCUUUGCUAAUACCGCAUACGAUCUAAGGAUGAAAGCCGGGGACCGCAAGGCCUUGCGCGUUUGGAGCGGCCGAUGGCAGAUUAGGUAGUUGUUGGGAUAAAAGCUUACCAAGCCGACGAUCUGUAGCUGGUCUGAGAGGACGACCAGCCACACUGGGACUGAGACACGGCCCAGACUCCUACGGGAGGCAGCAGUGGGGAAUUUUGGACAAUGGGCGAAAGCCUGAUCCAGCAAUGCCGCGUGCAGGAUGAAGGCCUUCGGGUUGUAAACUGCUUUUGUACGGAACGAAAAGGCUCUGGCUAAUACCUGGGGCACAUGACGGUACCGUAAGAAUAAGCACCGGCUAACUACGUG